rnacentral:tRNA from 1 species
GCCGGGGUGGCUCAGCCUGGUGGAGCGUCGGACUCAUAGGGUAUAUUAAUCUCCACCUCCAAGCCUGAGAAAUCCGAAGGUCCCGGGUUCAAACCCCGGCCCCGGCA